rnacentral:rRNA from 1 species
GACAGAGGGUGCAAACGUUGUUCGGAAUUACUGGGCGUAAAGCGAGUGUAGGCGGUUUCCUAAGUCAGGUGUGAAAGCCCUGGGCUCAACCCAGGAAGUGCACUCGAUACUGCUAGGCUCGAGUACUGGAGAGGUUGGUGGAAUUCUCGGUGUAGAGGUGAAAUUCGUAGAUAUCGAGAGGAACACCGGUGGCGAAGGCGGCCAACUGGACAGAUACUGACGCUGAGACACGAAAGCGUGGGGAGCAAACAGG